rnacentral:ncRNA from 1 species
AUUCCUACUGUUAUUGCCUGUAAGUCAUUUUUUUAUAAGAAAUUUCAUAUAAUGAAGGGCAGUAA